CUGGCCUGCUGGGGCCUGUCCUUUGUUCUAAGUUGGUCAACCAAUGAAGCAAAUAGAGACACACUGUGGCGCUGCCGUGCUGUUCCCGGACACAGCCCUCCUGUGGGUUUUCCAGAGCGAAGGAAGGCGAAGUAGGGACUCCUGCUAAUUUUAGGAGGCACAGUGGGACUGUGUUGUCGUUUUUCUGAUUGAGCAAAUAUUUGAGAACGUUGCCACGGACUGAACAAUGUUUCAGGUGUUGGGAAUAUAAAUGGCGAACACAGCAGGCAAAGCUCCUGCUCUCAAGUUUACUUUCAGUCGAGACGACAGACCAAGAGCAGACAGGAAAAUAAAAUACAUUUAUUUAGUGAUAAGAGCUGUGAAGAAAUCAGAUAGCACCUCAGGGUAGCGGCUGUCUCCUUUCUGCCCGUGACUUUGUGAAGCUUUUCUCCCGGGGGUUACCUGACAUGCUUCCUGGCUCCAAGAGCCUCAUUGGUGGGUGCCUGUGGCCCACCCUGAGCAAACAUCCCACGUUUCUCUCUGCAGAUGGAGUUCAAAAAACUUCUGUGAGCAAAGAGCUGGGCUCCACUGCACUUGCAGAGCUCCUGGCCUCUCUCAGGGUGCUGAGAGGCAGAGGACGAACGGAACUCCUAGUAGAGAGCUUUCCAAAAUACUAGAGUGGCAAAUGGCAACUGGACACAGGAGAAUUAUUUCCAGCUGCAACAGAACAGUCACCUUUAGCCAAAAGGGAUUCCCCAAUGUUACUCACCGUCCCUGACUCAUCAGGUAUGUUGGGACCAAGUCUAAUCUGCCUCCCAUCCAAAGAGUCUGGAUCACUCCAGGAGGGCUGAUUUUCGUGGUGGUGGUCUGCAGUGGGUGACCAGAGGAGGGACGGAAGCCGAGGAGGAAAGCUGUCAGACACGACGGCCACCCAUGGAAAUGGCAUGAGCUCUGACUCCUGGGACCCCACCUGGUCGCUCUGCUCGGUCACAACCUACCAGCACAUCGACGGGACAAGCAGAACCAGCUUUUCUUGUGUCGGGAGGGAGGAAGCAUGCCUAUGAUUGGCACUUCCUCCAGGCUCUGGACACUGUCCUCCAUCACCAUCCGGAUCAAAGCUUGCCAGCCUCCUGCUCUUAGCACUGAAGGACUGAGAGAAUUCCAAGGGUGGCCUUGCCGAUUGAGGUUCGAAGGACCAUCCUCCCAGUAACUCCCGUAUACCACACUCCCACUCCCUUGCCCCGGCUCUCCUCAUUGGACCUGUCUGGCAAAACCCCCACCCUGACUGGAUUAAGCUCCCGACCUAUAAGGCACCGGCACCUUGCUAGCUGACUGUCUGGAGACCCUGACCAUGAUGAAAGAGACACCAGAGAUGAGUGCACUUACAGAAGCAGCCACGCGAGGACGCAGUGAGAAGGCAAGGAGAGAGCCUCGGGAGAAACCAAAGUGCUGGCAGGACUUCAAGCCUCCAGAACUGCAG